UUUGACGCUCGGGUUUGGGCGACGUUCCCCAUCGGACGCUCUCACACGCUGUAAACACAGAUACACAGAGAGUACACACUUUUUGCAUGGACAUGUCACAUUUGUCUUUUUCAUAAACACAUAAUGUCCAAUGACUCAGCUACAGUGUAAAUACAAACCUGUAUUUAUAAAUAACAGGACUCAGUAUUCAGAAGUUGGAUGUACUGAUUUCACACAUUACACAAAGUUUUCUGCAACUCUAAUUAAAAGCAUUUAUUAUAACAAUACUAAUCAACAGCCACCAAUAAACUGAAGCACACACUCAGAUCCUUUGCUUUAUUUUAAACCCAAAGAUGUUUCGUUUAUAGAUACAUUUCAAGUAAAUCUGUGGGAUAACGUUUUCAUUUAACAAAAAAAAAAAAAAAAAAAAAAAAAAAAACAGACCAGCAGAAUGUCGCGGGAGCCCAGUGUUUUAGUGGCGCCAUCUUGGAUGGACAACGGUCAAGUACAAACAAACUUGGCUCAGCGCCAGGUGCUCUCAAAUCGGCAUAUUUAUUAAAAACGUUUCGCUUUUUUUUAAAAUAGUCGGGAAGGACGCGACUGCGACAGGCUUCGUCUACGUGUCACGAGCAAAUACUCACCGCUGGCUAAUUUGGUUAGUUAGUUUAGUAAGCAGUUAGCCAAAGUUAGGCAGCUUUGCUAACUAGCUUCUGAGCUACAGACCUGUGUGACCUUUACGUACCGGAACUUACAGCGGGACCAGAACAGAACCGCUCUCUGGAGAUUUGGACCGGACUCAACUAGUUUGAGACAUUUUGUGCCUUUGUGGCAGCCUGGCAUGGAAGAGGCUGUUGUUUACCCUGGUAAGCUGCCCAUUGUCUCUGCUGGGAAUUCCCUUUGGGAGAGAGUGCCAGGGGAGCGAGGCUCGGCGCAGCACAAGAAGCUAACUGCAGAGCUGCAAGCGGAGAAUUGGCUUGUCUGCAUCCACUGGGACCUGGUGCUAGGGACACAGGUUGACCGGCCUUCGUUCCAUUAGACUGCUCAUGUGGCGGCUCCCUUUUACUGUGAUGGUUUGCCAUUUACUUCAAUGGGACUGUGGAGGGAUGGCCGAUGAGAUGGGUUCGCCUAAGUGAACUAGGCUGCCUGCAGUGCAGGGGGAACAAUAGCUGCAUAGAUGACGGAAGACGGAAGGAACAGGCGUACAGUAGAUAUUAAUCAGAGAAUCUAAACGAAAAGUCAUGUGGAAAGUGGAUAAGAUGAUUGAUGUUUGAAAGACGUCUUUCUGUGACAAUAGGUUGCUCAUCCCAUUGCCAGACCAGCCUUAUCCUUUUAGUCUGGCAGCACUGAUUUUUGGUCUCCUGAAAGACUCUGGCGUGAAAUUUUGCUAAGCAUGGUUGAGAGCUGGAGAACAUGGAACACGGAUGAGCCGGGAUUAUGGAGGCCCGAAGCCCUCCCUUCGUCUGUGCCGUGUAGGGCACCUGUGAUCCUGAAGGUGUCCACGGACAACAAGGCCUUGUGUGCAGUGACACCACCCUCACAAAUCCCCCUCUGUCCCACUGUGCCACUCAUCUAUACAGUCCCGUCCACCUAACCCUAACCUCUCCACCCAGCCUGUCCCUGUGUUUCUCCCCUUCUGUUCCCUCCCCACAUGACUGUGCUCUUACUGUGAUUUUAUCACACUGAGCCAGAUGCAUGUUCGGCUGGAUGUGCUUUGUGUUUACAGAGUUUUGGAGUUUGGAGGCUUUGCAUGUAGUGAAGCAGCUUGGCUCAUGGGUGUGAGCUCAUUGUCUCAGGUGAGUCUUUGUGUGUCCAUCUGCAUACGCUGUUGACUGUGCAUGUCAGAAGCCAGUAGGCUGUCCUCACUGAGUUCUCCUCGUCAUCUCCCCAUAUUUGUCCUGUCCUUAAGGCCGGCGUUACACGCACGUUACGCUUUUCAUCUGCAGUCAAUACCCAUUGAGCUCUUCAUGAAUGGGAAAUGACAGCUAGUUCAUAACUUCCAAGGUUGAUCAAUAUGUAUCUGCACUGGCUCAACUCAUUCCUGAAUCUCUCCUCGCUCAAUUCCCAGUGCCACCUUUUGAAGCAAACCGUACGUGAUUGAAAAACGACCCCUAAUUUAUGUGGAAAGUGUGAUGUUAACACUGUUACGCUGUGUAAUGUGUUCUUCUGGAUUAUAAAUGAUACAGUAACUGCUUGACAAUGAAAGAGCCUGUUAUUUCAGCUGACCUUUAGCGGCUUGUACACGUGGCUGUGCUUGAGAAAUUUAGUCAGUGAUAAUAAUACAGCAUUAUCUACAUACUGUUAUUUAUAUAAUAAUACUUUGUGUGGUUGAUUGGAUAUUAGUUUUUGUAGAUUUGCAUUAAGUGAGGAAUGUCGAUGAACCGAGGUCUUUUUUGUGGUGAAUUCAUGGUGAAGCGCGCAUACUGUAUAGAUUGAGUGGUUAAAAUGGAUUUUUAAGUACUGAGUCAACAACCGAGACAUUGAUUCUGAGCUACUUGCAGUAACUCACCUGAAACACAUAUUUAUAUUUUGUGUGGACAGUGUGUGUGCUUUCAUAAUGUAGGAGGUUUAUUAUCUCUUUUUCUGCUCAGAUGACUGUAUAGAUGCUGCUAAUUGUUUUCCUACUGCGCGCCUUCAUUUAUACUCUUUACUUUUCACAUGUGCUGCUCUGAAUCACUGUGGUUGUGCACUGUGACCGUUAAUGGCUUCGCAUCUCACAGGUAUCAUGCACAACAAAGCCUGCAGCCCCCAUAAACACACACACUUGUCCCCAGAGUCCAGCCAUGUUGACACAGAAGACAGAGGAUUCUUUGAGGGCCGAACUAAGAAAGCUCAAGGCCAGGAGCUAAGGAAAGGCAAAAAAGGUGGAGGGGAGAGAAAUGAUAAAUAUCUUUGCUUACUUUUUUCAAACAAGAGGAAGAAAGCCCUCCCUUGCAGAGCUUGAAAUGCUGAAGGUCCGGUUGCGACCAGCCAGCAGGCAGCUGUGGCUCCAGCACUUCGCUCUGUAUCUCUGAGUCUCUCUCGCUUUCUGAUGCUUUCUCCCUCGACCUCCCGUUCAAAGCAAAGUUGGCUCCUUAUUUAUGUGCAAAUUUGCUCUUAGGCCCUACGAGGGUGGCGCGCAUGCUGAAUCUCUCCUUUCUGGGCUUUAGCAGAUUAUCCCGCUGCUCCCUUUGGUCCCCAUCGCCCUAAGCCCAGCUGCCCCGACCUUUUGUCAUUGAGACUUUCUCUUCUCGUCUUGGUGUCUUUUUUUUUACGCCCACCCCCUCCUUUUUUCCACCGUCCCUCCACACACUUCCCCCCACGCCGCAAGGCCUGAACUCUCUGGCUCUAGACGCCGCCGCCAUCACCUCCCUCCUCCUCCUCCUCACCUUCCUCCUUCCCCCUCCACCUUGUCCCUUGCCUCUCUUCUCCAUCUCCUGCCUCUUUCCUUCACUUUCUCUCAAAGGGCCAUUAUAUCGCUCUCUUCAUGGACAAAGGACCCUGGAGAGACACAGGGAAAGAGAAGGAGGGGGGAGAGAGAAGGAACAUGGCUUGUGCUUUGCUGCUCUCUCAUUCCUAAUCGAUGAAAGUGGCCCACGUGGAGCUCUGAAGGCUAAUCAAUACUUUUUUUUCAAGCUCUUUCUAUUUCUCCCUUUUUUUUGACCAUCCAUUUUGUUGCUGACUCUAACAAAACAUGAGGACAGAGCAGAAUAAGCAAGGGGAGGGUGUGGUGGGUGGAUGUUUGUAGGGAACACCCCCUGAUCACUUCCCUCUGGGGGGUUCUAGAAGAACAGUAGAAAUGUGUUUCGACCAGUGCAGAACAAGUUUGUGUCUAGUGCAGUAGAACACUCGGCGCGGAACGGAUGGAAAUGUGAGAGUGAAAUCAACAAUGUGACCUCAGCUGACCGCAUCUGUACCAGUGCGCCAGCCCUCCAUCCCACCCGCCUCACACGUUUGCCCCUUUUCUCUCGCCGCUGCCUCCCCGCCGGGUUAGGUUGCUGAGCAAACAGAAGGCAAAGAGUUGACUCUUUCUCCGGCUCAGCUCGCCGUAUGGGUGCAUGGAGGGAUUUGGGAAGCCUCAGUCUGCUAAGCCACUUCAUUGUAUUCUUCUCCAUCUUCCCUCUCUCACCUCUCCCCUCUCUCUGUCUUCCGUUCUCACACUGUCUACGCCUGUGCUCUGUCUAGUCCACAUAAAUACUAAGCAGUGUUGCCGUAGAAUAAAUUAAAAUCUGUUUGACGUUAAAAAAGCUGCCUUCCUCCACUUUUACCAUCUUUAGACAGCGACAGCAUAUUUUAAUGUUGAUAACCUGCUGACAGAAGAACAUUUAAUAGAGUAUUUUUAUUUUUCAGACAACAAUACACUUAGAGAACAGUUGAAGUGUCAAUCUGUAGGUCAGUAUACAGUAUUUGUCUGUAGAGAUAUACAUACUGCAAACACCACUAAAGCAAAUUUGUCUGGGAGCUUUGUUUAUGUAUUUGUGUGUCUCACACACAAAACCAUGCACAAAACACAGAGAUAUGCUUUGUGAAGAAUACAACACAGGCUGAUCCAUCAGUUCUCAGCUUCUCUAAUCCUCUAUUAGUCAUAACCUAAUGAUAUACAACGAUAGCUCUACAAGGAUUCCCGUUUUCUUCACUGGUACGCGCUAAAGAUUGAACUUUAAAACAAAUUGGAUAAUUUAAUUAAAACUAAAUGAGAUGAAAUGAAUUUACUCAUGAAGCUUAUUCUCUACUCACGCAAUACAAAACAUGCAGUACAUAACACUGCAACUCGGGGACCUUGUUCCACCCUCCUGACUGUUUCACACACCUGUCUAACUGGAUAUUUAACAGCUUUUUCCCUUCCCUAUCACCCUCCCAACACCAGCAGAGAGAAACAAUUACGCUCAACUCUGCCACUGAAAUGACAAUGCGACAUCCUCUUCACUUUACACCACCCGACUGUUAACCGUAUGUGGUAAUUACCUUUUUGCAGCGUCUUCGCAGUCACUUUAUUAGUCUCCUAACAAGGCUUUUUCAAAUAUAAAUAGCAGCCAAUGAAAUGGCAAUUAACCUUGCAAAUAGGUAUAAAUGACUGUCCAGGAGAGAAGGGUAUUGACGGGGAGCGAGAAAGGGAGCGAGGAAGAUGAGAUGGGGAUGAAGAGGGGGGGAAAGCAGACAGACAGAGAAAUAUUCAGGCAAUGGUGGGAGAUGAUGCAGCCCAUAGGCAAACUGCUCCCAUGGGCCAUUGUUUGUUGUGUCUGCGCUGACCAUUGUUUCGGUCCCUAUUAACCUCUUGGCCCCCUGUGUGAGAGCGGGAAAGGAUGGGAAGAUUCAAAAUGACAGACAUGGCCUAGUGACAUGGGAGGUGAGGAGUGGUUUUAACAGGAGCUUAGGGGCAGUGGGGACCCUCUCUGUCUGUCUACAUAAGGAGGGGGGCCUGCAGGGGUUGCAUGUGAGAGAGAGGGAGUGUGUCUGCUCCAGUUUGGAGGGAACAGUGGGGAAUGUGGGGCUGACCAGAAGAGGGAGGAGUUGGCCAGACCAAGAGCAGUCUGGGAAAUGUGAUCCUAGACGGGCGCUGCUGAUGCACCUGCUCUCAUACUUGUGGGGUUGUAUUGUCUGUCUUCACCGAGUGGCUUUAAACUAUUUUACAUGUUUCAUUGAGAUGAUGUAUUACCCAACGGCCAAUUGUGUGAAGACGUUCUACCAUGCUUACAUUUUUUUACUCCUAUAUUACACGACAUGACAUGUCACUCCAAUUUUCCACUUUGGAGGAGUAUUUGAGAAGAACAUAGCUGUUAAACUUGUAAGUAAUGCUUGCCCAAUGUUUGCUGUGCUCCAUUAUAUUGGUCUUUACUAGUCAAAUAUACAAAAGGAAUUUGUCUUGUAAAAAACAGAAAUAGAAAUUACAGAAGGGACUACGAAAGUAUAAUGGUUUGUAAGAGCAGUAGUAGUUUGUGAAAAUGAUAAAAAAAUAUGUAUUUCAGUGGCAUCUGUUUACAAAAACAUCAUUGUCUACCACAGAAGACAGAUUUUAGUGUAUCGGGCCUGAGAGUCGUAUCUGUCAUCACAUUUAUCUCUGUAACAACAGGCUUCAAUGGCUUGGCCCUCACAAACCCACUGUUCCUUCAUGAGUCCAUGUGGUGCUUCAUGAGUCAGUGUGUCACAUCACGAAGCCGCUAGGAAAAGCUUCUGUCGAUUUACAUGGGGACACACCAUUUCCUGCAUAGGAAGGGUGCCGCCUGUGCUCCCUCUUACUGUAUGUGUCCAAGCAUUACAGGAUUGGGAGAACACUCGAGCUAACCUCUGAGAGCCUUACCUGUGCUCUAGCGUGCAAUGAAAUGACAACUCCUCGCCACACAGUGAGAGCCAGUGGGAAGAUGGAGCUGGUGGAAGGUAGCCCUAAGAGGAUGAACUGUGGGAUUUAUAGUCUUGUGGGUAGGGCCGAGUGCCAGAUAUUCCAGCUGAAAGUCCUGUGGAUCAGAUGAAGCUGUCAAGCAGGGCAGUGAGAUGAGAGAACCAUGGGGAGAGGGAGCUUGAAGAUGGAGGCCAGGCAGGGAAGCUCCUCGGAUAGCGGAGACAGAGAGCUUAGGCUGGGGAUCAGGGUAGUUUUACUGGAAACUGUCAAAGGUAGAGAGGGAGUGAGGGAGAACUGAGAUAGCGUGUGUGACGAGAGAAUUAAUGAGGUGAAGAAAUGGAAAGUUUAACACAAAAUCAUUCCCACAAAGAUCAGAUUAAGAAAGUGGGUUAAACUCAAUUUUGACUUAAUUUGUAUUGUGAGCAGGACACUUCAGCGCCACAAGAGACGAGUGUGUAAAAGGAGGGGUUCAGCUCCUGAAACCUGCAGCCACUUUAACCAAGAGCCAUUUGAGUAGAAGACAUAAAGGGUCAGCAGACCCGACAAGUCGCAUGAGCAGUGUUUAACGUGUCGCGGUGCGUCUGGGCCUCACUCUUCUGGGGGAGCCUGGGAAAGUUGUGUUAAAUUACGCAGAAGGAGGGAGUGGGACCCUGUCAGGACGUGGCGUGGCGUUGUGCGGAGUGCAGCGGAUGGACAUGGCAUGGUUAUGCCCCCCGGAGUGCACUGUCAGGCCUCAUGACCGCAUUGUGUGACCACACAGAGAUGCUCAUGCACACACACACACUUUGAGGAUAAAGCCCGAGCAAAGGGCAAGAAAAGGAGCCAUGGGAUCUACCUCCGUCUGCACUGACCUCCCAACAUGCCUGUUUAUGCAUUUUACUACAAAAGAAAAACUGGACGUAAAAUAUUCACUGAAUUCAUCUAUAGCAAACAUCCACUUACAUUUCAAAAGGGUGGGUUGUUUUCUCAGAGCUUUGUAAAUGCAGUAUUAGCAUUCACACUGUUAACCUGAAAUAGUCGGUGGUUUCCCAAUUUACUGAAAGUAAGACCUGGGGUAAAUCUGGUCAGUGAUGAGAAACCUAUUCACAGUGAAACUGUCAUAUCAGUAGAAGGUGUGAUACUUAAUGUAAUGUACCCAUUUAACUAACAGCAGGUGACGGUCUAGAGGAAAAGUUUCCUAAAUGGACGGAAACCUCCAGCAGAACCAGGCACAGGCGGCGCAGACGGCUGUCACAUCAGCAGUUUCAUUUUCAUUUUCGCACUUUUAAAGUAACGCACUUUGUCACUGUCAAACACAACAACAAAAACCUGCCAGAUAGACACAAAGUACUGAAAUCGUUGACUAAAUCCUGUCUGUUCAACAGACAAGUUUUGUUGCUACAGCGCAACUAGAGGUUUGUACUGCACGCUCUAAGCUUAAAAACAUUGUGCGUAGACAAUAACUUCAUUAGGAGAAAAAUCCUGUUGGUUUUCAGGGGAUAAAGGAUACGUACGUACAGUAUCCUUGUCCUUUGUUCUGCUCUCUGCUGAAACCAUCCU